UGGAGCUGCUGCUGGUGAAAAGAAGGCUUUUGCCGGAAUUUAAGGAAUCAUUGGGUUCUUUUGGUCUUAUGCAUGGCUAAGCGUGAAGUCAUCAUCUUUGAUUCUUUGAGGCAGAAGCGAAAUUUAGCAAUUAAGUUUGCAAUGACAAAUGCUUUUCGAAGUUUCAAGGCAUUAAGUGGACAAUCUAGGGGAAGUAAAUUGACAUGGCAUUUGGG